GGGUCAGUAGGUUGGUCGUGCCACCGGUACGUACUGGUCUCACUGAUUCCUCCUUCCUGAAGAACCGUAAUGCCAUUAAUUUGGUGUUGCGGGGAAACAGGACUGUUACUUUGAAAGAAUUAGAGUGUUUAAAGCAAGCUAACGCUUGAAUACAUUAGCAUGGAAUAAUGAAAUAGGGCGAUCGAUCCUAUUUUGUUGGUUUCUAGGAUUGACGUA
rnacentral:rRNA from 1 species